rnacentral:rRNA from 1 species
CACAAGCGGUGGAUGAUGUGGUUUAAUUCGAUGCAACGCGAAAAACCUUUACCCACCUUUGACAUGUACGGAAUCCUUUAGAGAUAGAGGAGUGCUCGAAAGAGAACCGUAACACAGGUGCUGCAUUGGCUGUCGUCAGCUCGUGUCGUGAGAUGUUGGGUUAAGUCCCGCAACGAGCGCAACCCUUGUCAUUAGUUGCUACAUUCAGUUGGGCACUCUAAUGAGACUGCCGGUGACAAACCGGAGGAAGGUGGGGAUGACGUCGAGUCAGCACGGCCCUUAUGUCCAGGGCUACACACGUGUUACAAUGGCCGGUACAAAGGGCAGCUACUUCGCGAGAAGAUGCUAAUCUCGAAAGCCGGUCUCAGUUCGGAUCGAAGUCUGCAACCCGACUUCGUGAAGCUGGAUUCGCUAGUAAUCGCGCAUCAGCCAUGGCGCGGUGAAUACGUUCCCGGGCCUU